GAUGAACGCUGGCGGCGUGCCUAAUACAUGCAAGUCGAGCGAACAGACGAGGAGCUUGCUCCUCUGACGUUAGCGGCGGAAGGGUGAGUAACACGUGGAUAACCUACCUAUAAGACUGGGAUAACUUCGGGAAACCGGAGCUAAUACCGGAUAAUAUAUUGAACCGCAUGGUUCAAUAGUGAAAGACGGUUUUGCUGUCACUUAUAGAUGGAUCCGCGCCGCAUUAGCUAGUUGGUAAGGUAACGGCUUACCAAGGCAACGAUGCGUAGCCGACCUGAGAGGGUGAUCGGCCACACUGGAACUGAGACACGGUCCAGACUCCUACGGGAGGCAGCAGUAGGGAAUCUUCCGCAAUGGGCGAAAGCUUGACGGAGCAACGCCGCGUGAGUGACGAAGGUCUUCGGAUCGUAAAACUCUGUUAUUAGGGAAGAACAAAUGUGUAAGUAACUAUGCACGUCUUGACGGUACCUAAUCAGAAAGCCACGGCUAACUACGUG
rnacentral:rRNA from 1 species